rnacentral:rRNA from 1 species
UACGUAGGGACCGAGCGUUGUCCGGAAUCAUUGGGCGUAAAGAGCGUGUAGGCGGCCACUUAAGUCCUGCGUGAAAUCUUGCGGCUCAACCGCAAGCGGUCGUGGGAAACUGGGUGGCUAGAGUGCGGGAGAGGAGAGUGGAAUUCCUGGUGUAGCGGUGAAAUGCGUAGAUAUUGGGAGGAACACCAGUGGCGAAGGCGGCCACCUGGACCGGUUCUGACGCUGAUGCGCGAAAGCGUGGGGAGCAAACAGG